rnacentral:rRNA from 1 species
GAUGAACGCUAGCGACAGGCCUAACACAUGCAAGUCGAGGGGGCAGCAUUAUUAAAGCUUGCUUUAAUAGAUGGCGACCGGCGCACGGGUGCGUAACGCGUAUGCAACCUACCCAUUACAAGAGGAUAGCCCAGAGAAAUUUGGAUUAAUACUCUAUAGUAUUUACUCUAAGCAUUUAGAGUUUUUUAAAGGAUUCGUUCUGGUAAUGGAUGGGCAUGCGUAUGAUUAGCUAGUUGGUAGGGUAACGGCCUACCAAGGCAAUGAUCAUUAGGGGUUCUGAGAGGAUAGUCCCCCACACUGGUACUGAGACACGGACCAGACUCCUACGGGAGGCAGCAGUGAGGAAUAUUGGUCAAUGGACGCAAGUCUGAACCAGCCAAGUCGCGUGCAGGAUGACUGCCCUAUGGGUUGUAAACUGCUUUUAUAUAGGAAUAAUGUUGGUUACGCGUAACUAUUUGAAUGUACUAUAUGAAUAAGCACCGGCUAACUCCGUGCCAGCAGCCGCGGUAAUACGGAGGGUGCAAGCGUUAUCCGGAUUUAUUGGGUUUAAAGGGUGCGUAGGCGGGUUCAUAAGUCAGUGGUGAAAGUCUGUCGCUUAACGAUAGAAUUGCCAUUGAAACUGUGGAUCUUGAAUACAGUAGAGGUAGGCGGAAUAUAUUGUGUAGCGGUGAAAUGCAUAGAUACGAUAUAGAACACCGAUUGCGAAGGCAGCUUACUAUGCUGAGAUUGACGCUGAUGCACGAAAGCGUGGGGAGCGAACAGG